GGGCCUCCUGGGGAGCCUGGGAGGCCAGGCUCACCUGGAGCCCCUGGUGAACAAGGACCCCCAGGCACACCAGGCUUCCCCGGAAAUGCAGGCGUGCCAGGGACCCCAGGAGAACGAGGUCUAACUGGUAUCAAAGGAGAAAAAGGAAAUCCAGGCGUUGGAACCCAAGGUCCAAGAGGCCCCCCUGGACCAGCAGGACCUUCAGGGGAGAGUCGGCCUGGCAGCCCUGGGCCCCCUGGCUCUCCUGGACCAAGAGGCCCACCAGGUCAUCUGGGGGUUCCUGGACCCCAAGGUCCUUCUGGCCAGCCUGGAUAUUGUGACCCCUCAUCAUGUUCUGCCUAUGGUGUGAGAGGAUGGAUGGGCAUCUUUCUCCUUGACCACCCUACUCUCCCUUCCUCCCCUGAUCACCUCCCCUCCCUGCUCUUCCCUGGUGAUGGACUUCUAACAUGAGAUUUUUUAAAAAAAUUUCUAUUUCUUUUAUAAUUUUGCUGAGUUUUCAGGGUUUCUUCUGUAAAUAAAACAUAAUAUUUAAAUGGUUGGUUAUGAUUCUAGUUUUCUAACAAUUUCUGUAAUGUAUCUUUCCCUUCGUCUAUUUACUAACUGUCUGAAACCUUAUGGGGAAGGUACAAGGGGCGUGGUGGAUUAAGACAUCCACUGCUUUUUACCCAGCAGGAUAUCUCUGUGUCUCUAAGGACCC
rnacentral:lncRNA from 1 species